AGAGUUUGAUCCUGGCUCAGAUUGAACGCUGGCGGCGUGCUUAACACAUGCAAGUCGUGCGAGAAAGGGGACUUCGGUCCCUGAGUAGAGCGGCGCACGGGUGAGUAACGCGUGGAUAAUCUCCCCAGAAGUUCGGGAUAACGGCGGGAAACUGCCGCUAAUACCGGAUACGCUCCAAUUUCGGUUGGGGGAAAGGCGGCCUCUGUUUACAAGCUGUCGCUUCUGGAUGAGUCCGCGUCCCAUUAGCUUGUUGGUGGGGUAAUGGCCUACCAAGGCUACGAUGGGUAGCUGGUCUGAGAGGAUGAUCAGCCACACUGGAACUGAAACACGGUCCAGACUCCUACGGGAGGCAGCAGUGGGGAAUAUUGCGCAAUGGGGGAAACCCUGACGCAGCGACGCCGUGUGAGGGAUGAAGGCUUU
rnacentral:rRNA from 1 species